UAGGGAAUCUUCCGCAAUGGGCGAAAGCCUGACGCAGCCAUGCCGCGUGAAUGAUGAAGGUCUUAGGAUUGUAAAAUUCUUUCACCGGGGACGAUAAUGACGGUACCCGGAGAAGAAGCCCCGGCUAACUUCGUGCCAGCAGCCGCGGUAAUACGAAGGGGGCUAGCGUUGCUCGGAAUUACUGGGCGUAAAGGGAGCGUAGGCGGACAUUUAAGUCAGGGGUGAAAUCCCGGGGCUCAACCUCGGAAUUGCCUUUGAUACUGGGUGUCUUGAGUAUGAGAGAGGUGUGUGGAACUCCGAGUGUAGAGGUGAAAUUCGUAGAUAUUCGGAAGAACACCAGUGGCGAAGGCGACACACUGGCUCAUUACUGACGCUGAGGCUCGAAAGCGUGGGGAGCAAACAGG
rnacentral:rRNA from 1 species